rnacentral:rRNA from 1 species
GACCGAGGGUGCGAACGUUGUUCGGAAUUACUGGGCGUAAAGGGCUCGUAGGCGGCCAACUCAGUCGGACGUGAAAUCCCCAGGCUCAACCUGGGAACUGCGUCCGAUACUGGAUGGCUUGAAUCCGGGAGAGGGAUGCAGAAUUCCAGGUGUAGCGGUGAAAUGCGUAGAUAUCUGGAGGAAUACCGGUGGCGAAGGCGGCAUCCUGGACCGGCAUUGACGCUGAGGAGCGAAAGCCAGGGGAGCAAACGGG